rnacentral:rRNA from 1 species
AAGUCGUAACAAGGUUUCCGUAGGUGAACCUGCGGAAGGAUCAUUAAUGAAUUUUUAGGGGGUUGAUGCUGAUUCUUUGUGGAAUAUGUGCUCGCCUCUGAUAAUUUUUUAUCCAUACACCUGUGCACCUUUUGAGGGCUGGCUUUAUUGACUGCCCUCUCUUUUUACAAACCCCUUUUUCUAAUCUCGAACGUGAAUUUGUGCCGUAAGGCCUUAUAAUCAAAAUACAACUUUUAACAACGGAUCUCUUGGCUCUCGCAUCGAUGAAGAACGCAGCGAAUUGCGAUAAGUAAUGUGAAUUGCAGAAUUCAGUGAAUCAUCGAAUCUUUGAACGCACCUUGCACUCUCUGGUAUUCCGGAGAGUACACCUGUUCGAGUGUCGUGAAACUCUCAAGCUGGGAUUUUUUUUCAUUAAGGAUCUCAGUUUGGAUUUGGACUCUGCCGUGUAAUGACGGCUGGUCUUAAAGGCAUUAGCUGAAUCUUGAUAUGGGACUGGUUCUACUCAGCGUGAUAAUUAUCUGACCGUUGAGGACAUCUUUCGGGAUGGCCAGACUUGUUCUCGAAUCGCUUCUAAUCUGGCUAUUGGGGGGCUGUCUUAACGGAUGGCUGCUCGAUCCACUUUUCAACCUUUGACCUCGAAUCAGGUGGGACUACCCGCUGAACUUA